rnacentral:misc_RNA from 1 species
AACGCACAUUGCGCCCGCCAGCACUCUGGCGGGCAUGCCUGUCCGAGCGUCAUUUCGCCGCCCAGGCCGGCCGUCUGCUGCUUCGCGCGGCGGGCGGCCGGGCCCUGGUGUUGGGGCUGUUCCAGCGUGCCAGCGCGCCGCCGGGCCCCGAAAACCAUCGGCGGACCCCGCCCAGACAACCCCCCUGGCGCAGUCGCAAAAAGCUCGUCCAGGGGCGGCCGGGCAGGUGUUCCCGUCGUCAGCACGCACCCGACAGCAGGAGGGGGUUUCUCCUCUGGCUGCCGAGCACACACACCAAGACUUUGACCUCGGAUCAGGUAGGACUACCCGCUGAACUUAA